GGUCUGGUGGUCUAGCGGUAUGAUUCUCGCUUAGGGUCCACCCUAACUGCUCCUGUUUGCGAGAGGUCCCGGGUUCAAUCCCCGGCCAGACCC